CUUUCGACCAAAGAGCACCAGGUGCUAGGUUGGUUCAAAGUUGAGAGCCAGUGCUUUUUUGGUUCAAAUCUCGUGCCGCCCCAGAACGGGUUUGUGUUUCCAUUCGGAAGGAGCAAAGUUGGAGCUGCGUCAUUGCCCCACCACAAAACGUGUGUACGUCACUGCGUACGUAGCCGUUCAACAGCGUUCACGCCGUACGGAAACCCACACAACAACAAUGGAGGACUUCAUUGGAGUGGUGUUCAUGGCUUUACUAGUGUGUCUCGCCAUCGCUUAACAGCAAAACCUUCUGUUAGAGGUUACCCAUCGGCGUCGCCGUUCCAAUGCCCGGCGAUCACGUUUGAGAAGAAAGAUGUUUUUAGAUGUCACCCCGCCCCCUGCCCGUGACGUGCUCGGCUCUCAACUCUGGCCACCUCUGGCCCAGCAACGAGUUGGUGCCCGAAACAGCCCCAGUUUUUGGAGCCCGGAGCCGCAGCUCCGGUGGUGGAAAGACAGAAAACCGGCGCCAAGUCGGGCACCGGCUCCGACUCCGAACGGGCUCCACCCCGGUCGAAAGCCCCUAAAAGUGGCCUCAGAUCGUGAUGCUGCUGGUUCUUACUCUUCAAAACAAGUUUAAACGUCAAAGAAAAUUGAUGGGCUCAUGACUGAAUUCUCAGCUUGUGCAGCGUUACAUUAAGAUGCCAACGGUGCCGCGUGAAAAUGUGUAAAUUGAUCUGAGAGGAGUGUAAGAUUUAUAGCAAAUUCCCAAAGUGGUUUCUAUUAGACAGGUGCACAACAUGUUUUCUAAAUGGGCAGAAUCAGCUCCGUUGGUUUAACCUCGUAAAUCAAACUCACGGACGGAGUGAAAAAUGAUCUUAGGAUUCCAUUAAACAUUCAUUAGAGUGUCUCUUUUAUAAUAAAUGAUGGAUCGGGCAAUUUCUGCACAUCCCAUCAGCUUUCUGAACAUGAAUUCAGGACACAGAGUUUAAGGCUGGAGCUCUGAUUGAGAAACUACAUCAUCUGAUAUCCAGUCAAACAGGUCCAUUAAUGAGGGAUCUGAAACUGUCAGAAAUGCUUACUUUGUUGAAGCAUGUUGAUUUUCUGCAUCACGCUGAAUCCACCGACUCUUCCCAGCAAACUAUGGAUGAGAACAGAAGAAAAGUUUACUAUGAACCUGCUGCAUCUUUAUUCAACCUUCUUCCAAAAAUGUCACAUUAACUGUCAGACACUACCUACCAAGAUCUGCGCUGCAUCCCAGUAUCAUCUGAAAUCACUGUAAAAAUCAAUAAUCUGACCCACUAAACACUAACUUCUCCUUCUGCUGAGCUGAGGAGGACAAGGACCUGAUUAGAUGUUUGUGGUGAAGCAGCUGCAGGACAAUCUCUAAAACAAAACGAGGUUUUUUGGAAAAGUUUAAACCUUCUGAGCCUAAAAUAGUCUCUGGGUGAAACAUUUCCCAAUUUAGGCUGUUUUUAAUCUGUGUUUAACCCUCCUGUUGUCCUCAUUUACAGGCACUAAAAAAUAUUGUUUCUUUCUCUGAAAAAAAUCUAAAAAUUCAGCAAAAAAAUUCCACAAAUUUAUGAGUUUGCAAAACCUUCAGGAAGAAAAUUCCAAUCAUUCCUUAAAAGUUCCCUUAAAAGGUCAUUUUAAAAAAAAAUCCCCCAAAUUUGGCAAGAAAAUUCUUGUAAAUAUUUUCAAAAAAUGAGUAAAAAUCUUCCAAAAAAAUCCUACAAAUAUCUAAAGUGAUUCCAUAUAUAUCAGUAAAACUUGUAAUAUUUUCUUUAAGAACAUUCACAUAAAAAUCAAUCAAAACCCAGUGAAUUUCGCUGGAUUUUGGUUGAUUUUUCUGUGAAUUUUCUUAAGAAACAUUUUUAACAUUUUUUUUUCCACCAAAAAAUGUUCAAAGAUUUCCCAAAAUGUUGAAAAUGUGGACAUCAGAAGUUUCACUGUGAAAAUGUUUUUUUCCACAUUUUCAAACCUUAAAAUGGGUUAAUUUGACCGACAGGACGACACGAGGGUUAAACAUUUGUGUGUCCUUUUUUGUAUAUGUAUGCUUUAUCUGUUAUCUUUCUUCCUGCUGGAUCCUCGUGCCAGGUCAUUACUGGAAAUGAGAAAUUGUUCUCAACUGAUCUUAUUUGGUAAAAUAAAGAAUGAAUACAUUUCUA